UUGAUAGAGGCGCGGAAUUUAUCAGUAGCACAAAGGCUUUAAGGCAAUCGGCUUUGUGUGAAAGGAAAUUUCGCCGAAGGCAAACGGAUUUGCCUUAAACCGUUUGUCUGGGUCGUCGGGUAACACCCGCCGGACUGUCGCGUUUUGCGGAGGGCUAUCGGA
rnacentral:ncRNA from 1 species